AAUGGCAUGUGCCUGCAGUCCCAGUUACUUGGGACUGGGGUAGGAGGAUCACUCGUGCCUAGGAGUUCUGGGCUACCGGGUGCUAUGCCGCUCAGGUGUCCACAUUAAGUUUGGCAUCAAUAUGAUGAUCUCCCAGGAGUAGAGGACCAGCAAGUUGCCUAAGGAGGGGUGAACCAGCCCAGGCUGGAAAUGGAGUAGGUCAAAACUCUCAUGAUGAUCAGUAGUGGGAUUGCACCUGUCAACAGUCACUGUAUUCCAGCCUGGGCAACAUAGCAAGACUCUGCCUCU
ensembl:misc_RNA Metazoa_SRP Metazoan signal recognition particle RNA